rnacentral:tRNA from 2 species
GGCGUAGCUCAAUUGGCAGAGCAGCUGAUUUGUAAUCAGCAGGUUGCAGGUUCGAUUCCUGUCGCC